GUCAAUCUCUCAGGCAUGUGUCUAUUGUUCUGUUUUUAUGAUUUUUUCUUCAAAAAGCUAUUAAUUUUAUUUCAUUGUAUCCAACACUCCAGACUCCAGACUCCAGCCUUAUUGCAGUUUGUUUAUUGUUAGUUACAUCCCAUCAAACUUGAACUAUCUGUUAUUGUUUUAACUCCAAACAUUACUGCCCUUGAUUGCAGUGAGUAUGAUUCUAAAGCCAUGGCAGAGAUAGGGGAGCUUCUGAGGAGCAUGGAGGCGAGGCGGCCUCAAUUAGUGGCGCUAACGAGCUUGCUCGUGGGGAAGAACGACGACAGUUUAGUUGUUGAGUCUGAAGAGAAGGAUGAUGACAAAAAUUAAGACAGCAAUAUUGAAGAUGGAAGUUCAUGUGGAAGCUGAACCCAAUCCCAGCAACAAGGGAAAUGGAAAAAGGCACACCAAUGAAAGAAUGUUGAGCAUAUUGUAUAACAUUAAAACAAAGUUUGAAUUUGCAUCACCAUUAGAAUCUUGCAAGUAAGUUCUAACUUGCAGGACAGAAUAUUUGGUUUUAAUUUAUCAAUUGCGUGCUUUUAUAAACAGACGAAAGUAGUAAUAAGACUUUCAGUUUGCAUGGACGAAGGUAGUAAUAAAACUACAAUUUGAAUUUGCUGACGACUGCAUUCACCUUCCAUGAAUUCACUGCUUAUUUGUUGAUUUACCAUAGUAUAGACACAGAGUUGUCAGCUGAAAAGAGAGAGAGGGUUUGAUAGUGCAGCAGCUUGAACGUAGCUUGAUAACUGCGUUUCCUGCUCUCGUUGCUGAUUUUGUAACCUGUUCUUGUCUCCUGUUUUCGUAGUGAAUUUUUCCUUACUUUGCGACCGUGGAUGUGGAUCUGUAAAGAUCGAACCACGUAAACCCUUGAGUCUCUUUUAUGGUACUUUCAUCAAACAUAUGUUGUGCAGUUCACAUUUUACAGAGUUUUCAAGGUAAAAUCACUAUAAACUUCAGAUCUUGCUUAGUCUCCUCACUCAAACACUUCGUGCUACCAUAGUCAACAAACUAAUACAAAUGACAAGUCCAUAAAUAAUUAAGAAGAUCUAAUUCCAUACACCACAAGCAUUGCAGUCCCAAACUUAUUAAACAAAUCUCGAACUUAAAAAUUUUCAGUUCCACCUUCAAAGCAAAAAAUGCACUGAAAUCUUACCAAAAUAAAUUGUUGCGUGCUACAUGAAUUGCGUGAAAACAAGUUAAGUGGAUUCGUGGCUUUAUACAUACACAACCACACAACCCACUGUAAUAACUAUUUAAUAGAUUUCAUGGCUCAAUGAAAAUUCAACAAAGCGACGAGAGAAGUGAUGCUGAGAAGAUUGAGUAUUGAUAAUUAAAUAAAAAUUAAUGGAUAAAUUAGGCCAACUUCAAAUUCUUCAGUUCCACCUUCAAUUUUCCAGUUUCUCCUUCAAUGGUGUAGGAAAGAUAGAAAUCUGUAAACAAAAAAUUGAGUUUCAAACCCGUGGACUUUAGAUUUUCAAAGUUUUAAAUGAGUAGGUGCUAAAACGACGUCGUUUCUAGUCCAUGUCGUUAAAUAUGCCACCUCAUCCAAGUCUGGUGCCACGUCAUUUAAAAGUUCACCGAAAAUCACGCGAUGGGAAAUUCCAGAUGACAUAAUUUAUUAUGUAUAUUUUGCAACAAGAAUGAAAGAUUGGGGGGAAAACCAAAAAUUGGAAAUUUAUUAUGGUUUUAGACCAAAUUUACCCUUUCUAAUAUAUGAAAUCCAUUAAUAUAAUUUCUGUAGGACUAAAUGUCAAUCUCGCAGGCAUGUGUCUUUUUGAUUUUUUCUUCAAAAAGCUAUUAAUUUGAUUUCAUUAUAUCCAACACUCCAGAAUCCAGCUUUAUUGGAGGUUGUUUAUUGUUAGUUACAUCCCAUCAAACUUGAACUAUCUGUUAUUGUUUUAACUCCAAACAUUAAUCCUUGAUUGCAGUGAGUAUGAUUCUAAAGCCAUGGCAGAGAUAGGGGAGCUUCUGAGGAGCAUGGAGGCGAGACGGCCUCAACUAGUGGCGCUAACGAGCUUGCUCGUGGGGAAGAACAACGACAGCGUAGUUGUUGAGUCUGAAGAGAAGGAUGAUGACAAAAAUUUAGACAGCAAUGUUGAAGAUGAAGAUAGUGAAACAGAGGAUUCAGCAGCUGUGGAAGUUGAACCCAAUCCCACCAACAAGGGAAAAGGAAAAAGGCACACCAAUGAAAGAAUGUUGAGCAUAUCAUAUACUAACAUUAAAACAAAGUUUCAAUUUGCAUCACCAUUAGAAUCUUACAAGUAAGUUCUAACUGGCAGGACGGGAUAUUUGGUUUUACUUUAUCAAUUGAAUAAAGGAAUUCUAUAUGUUUUAUUUGGCCAUGGGUACCGGUGAUAAAAAAAUAUUGCCAAAAAGUUACACUUAAUGUUAUAUAUGCGUAGAGUUUAUUGUAGAAUUUGAUAUAUAUUGUAAGACAUAAAUAUGUAUUGUGGAAGAUAAAUAUGUGAUGACGUGUGUGAUGUGAAUUAAAACUUUAUGUGAUUUAGAAUUUGAUUUGUACUAUAAGACAUAUACUUUUUUAUACCUAAAUAUAUUUAUUUAUGAUAGUAUGAAUUAAUAAUGCUAAAAAUACGAGAGUUAAGAUAAUUAAGAAUGGAGAACCGUGGACACGCCACGUAGUGUGAAAGUAAACUUCAUUAUCAUAUACUCCCUCUGUCCCACUGUAUGUGAGACUCUUUCUAUUUUGGACAUCCCAUUGUAAGUGAGACAUUUCCUUUUUGGGUAAAAGUUUUUCCCUUUAAACACCUUUUCAUUUUUUCACCUACACAUAAUAUAGUAUAAUAUUAAGAAUAUUACUCCCUCCGUCAGCCAAAAGUAUUCCAUAAUUACUAUAUUUGACGUCCGCAAAAAUAUUCCACUUUCCUUUUUAAGUCAUGGUCCCACCAUCUACCUUUAUAUUUUAUCCUUACAAACACUCUUUAUUUAUAAAAAACCUCACCUCAAAUUCAAUCUCAACCACACAUCUCAUAAAGUACGGAGGGAGUAUUAUUUUCAUUUAUUUAUUUAUUACUGUAGUAUGUUUUAAGGACAGGGCCGAUUAUUAUUAAAAAAAGAUUUUCAAUAUAAAAAAAAAAACCCUUAAACUAUAAGAAGCAACUCUCUCUCUCUGGUGGGUAUGAACGAUAGCGUUGAGAGGUUUGGUAAUUCGUUAUUUAUAAGUGAGUAUUGUUUGAUCCUGCCCGAAGUUGAGUUUUUCUGAUUGCAAAUCAAGCAAUUAACCAAGGUAAUUUCUUAGUUCUUGUCUCCAGAUCCGUUUCUAUGCAGAUUUUGAUUUUUUUUUUUGAGCAUCUGUACAGAGAUUGAUCGAAGCAGUUAUGAAUCGGAAGUAUUUCAAAGCCGAUUUAAAAUUUCUUCUCACCAAGGUAAUCUCCAGCUGUCAAAGUGUAUUUUUUUCCCCCUUCGAUUCUUGUUUUGGGUCGUUGAUGCUGUUUCUUAUAUAAUUUGAUUGCAAAUCACCAUGAACUUCAUCCAAAAUACUACUAUUCCCCCCCCUUUUUUUAGAGGGAAGCAUUAUAAUCUCUUAUUGAUUAGAAUUGAAUAGUAGUACUCCCUCCGUCCGCCAAGAUUAUGUCACUUUGCUUUUAUGGCAAUGAUCCCACCAUCCUCUUUAAUAUUUUAUCCUUACUAACACUCUUUAUUUACAAAAAAACCACUCAAAAUUCAAUCUCAACCACUCAUCUCAUAAAGUGGAUAAAGUGGUGGGGCCCUUUCUCCACUACAUCAAAAUCAUCACCAAUUUUAUUAAAUCCCAUGCCCAAGCAAAUUGCCAUAAUCUUGGCGGACGGAGGGAGUAUUAUUUAUCUGAUGAUGAUGACAAUGAUGAUAUGGAUCACAUAUUAAACUAUGAAACUAGUUUCAAACAGAUGCAUGUUUACCUUUGAAACUAUAUUUCUGAUAAAUAGAGAAAGGGUUAACAUAAUCGAGUUUUUGCUCUAAUUUGUUAUGGCAUUGUUCUAAAUAUUUUCUUGGAUCUUUUAUUUUUAUAGUGUGGUGGAGGAAGCUGUGGAGGAAUUGAUAGGAUAAGUGAGUUGCCCGAUGAAAUUAUCAUUUUCAUACUGUCCUUUCUGUCGUUGAAGGAGGUCGUAUCCACUAGUAUUCUUUCUUCCCGAUGGUCAGAUUUGUGGAAGUGCACCCCUAAUCUCAACUUCAGUACUAAGCUUCUCAACAUCAAACCUAGAUUCCUGCCUUGGGACUUAGGAUCAUGGGAUGUGGAAAAGUGCAAGUAUAUACGGAUGCUAAACUCAGUUCUCAAAUCCCAUAAAGCGCUUUGCCUGAAAGAGUUUAAAAUUUCUUUGUAUGUGAACAAAUCAGCCCAGUCCACAGUCACCAAAUGGCUUGAAUUUUUGUUUUCAAGACAAGUUGAGAGGUUGGAAUUGGACUUUCUAUGUGAGUAUGAUACUGAUAUGGUUUCCCUUGGAGAUUUAUUAAGAGGUAGCAACGUAUGUCGGCCUCAAACUGUUGUGUUUUUUAAAUCCCUCAAAAGACUGUGUCUGAAAUCUUUUAUAGUGAGUGGCGAAGAUAUCGACUUGUUACUACGUAAUUGCCCGCUGUUGAAGCGAUUGUCUAUCCAUAACUCACGCUUCACAUCUAAUGUUGUGGUUUGUGGCACCACACUUGUGUUAAAGCACUUGGAUAUUACAUUUUGCAGUGGUAUGAAUUACUACAUAAAAGUUUCUGCUCCAAAGCUUACUUGGCUUAGGGUUGACUCGAUAUCAGACGAGUUGUUACUUGAGAACCUCCCAAAACUUAUUAGGGCAGAAUUCACCUGUAGAAGUGAAAGUGUAGAUGAUGCAAAACGUUUUGCUUCUGCAGUAUUUUGCUGCAUUUCCCAACGAAAAUUUCUCCAUUUAAAUCUCCUUUAUCCCAAGGUUAGACUGCUUUUUUUCUUCUUGUUAUUUUGGUUUUGUUUCUAGAUAUAUACAUGAUUCAUUGAAAUUUCCAUAGGUGUUUUUGGUGAAUGACAUCCCUCCAAUGCCUAAAUUGAAGCGGUUGACAAUUGAAUAUUCUGCAGUUUAUAAGCACAGCCUCUUGCCAAUAACCGCUUUAAUAUGGGCAGCUCCCCGUCUUGAAGAAUUCAGAUUAGAGGUUAGUGAUACUGCAAUUAAUUUUACUAAACUAUGCCAUUGUUUGCAGGUGUGGCCAUUUUUAUGAGAAGGUUUUUUGUGUAUGCAGUUCAUGAACCUCCCCGGACGAGACCCAACUCCUUGGAUAGAAGGUUUGACGAAUGUUACAAGACUUUCGCACAGGCAUCUCAAAGUGUUCAAGUUCGAAGGUUUUUGUGUGGACGCUGCUCAUCAUAUCGAACUGGUGACUUACAUUUCAAAUAAUUGUGUUUCGCUCAAGAAAAUAAUGAUUAGUUGUUAUCCAUUUUAUUAUGGAUAUGAUCAGACACGCUCUGAGCAAAUAGAUAAGGCAAAAGCUGAUAGCGUCCGAGCCAAACAACUGCUUCAAGAAAUUGUACCUCACUACACUAAACUAAUUGUUCGUUGGUUUUCCAUUCUUUAAGUUUGAGCCACACGAAUUCUGAGCGUAUAGCUACGGCAGAAGCUGAUAACAACUGCUUCAAUAUUUAUUUUGAGUGUCAAGUGUGAAAUACUAGCUUUGGAGCUAAUAUCAAUGAAUUAAAUUGGUUUAUAUUUUGUGUCUGAAAUACUAGUUUCUGUAAUACAGUAUGAUAUUCUCACCAACUGCUUCAUACAAUAAUCAUUAAGAGUUCUUUAUGGAGUCUGGAUCCUUGUACAGUUGUUGCACCAAUUGAAAUUUGGAAGAUGCGACCACUUAGGCAUAUCUGCUGUUAUGAAAUUUAUCUUCCUCAACCCGACGGACAAGAUGAGUUGUUAAUCUUGGAAAAUCUUCAAUACGCUUCGGAGUGCAGAGAAUUUGAGGUUGAGUGAGGAUGUGUGCAACAUCAUUCCUAUUAUUUCCCAACAUCAAGAUAUUGCAUCUUUAAUAUCAUCAUUACUUACAAGGAUGGGAUGAUAGUUUGAAUGAGGGUUUGUGUAAUCUUGGUAGGUUGCAUAAACUUGAAUCACUCAAAUUGAGGAGGGGUGGGGGGGGGGGGUNNNNNNNNNNNNNNNNNNNNNNNNNNNNNNNNNNNNNNNNNNNNNNNNNNNNNNNNNNNNNNNNNNNNNNNNNNNNNNNNNNNNNNACUCCCUUUCUCGGGGUCGAGUUUUGGUGGGAUUCAGCCAAUGCCGUCAUUGAUGAGCUGAGUCUCGGAGUUUUAUCUCCUUUUUCCUUUUAUUUGUUUGACAAGCAGUGUCUUGUCGGUUUUCUUAGUUUCGUUCUGCUUUGCUUUUGUGUUUGCUUAGUGUCUUUUGUUAGUCGUUUUUGUGAUGGGAAGCCGAGCAGCUUAGGGGUGAUGGUUAGGCCGGAACCUUUGAAGUUGUCUCAACCCCGCUUCCCUUUUCACUUUUCUCGUUUGCACUUUAACGAGUACUCUUUUUCCCCUUUAAGGAUUUUCCCUCGCGGGUUUGCCUUAGAGGGGUUUUAAUGAGGCUCGGCCCUUAGUUUGCUCUCUGUGCUCUCAAGGGUUUUUUGUUUUUUCUUUUAAUAAAAUCUCAUUUAAUAAAAUAAAAAAAAUAAUUGUGAAGAAUUUUCUAAUGCAAGCUUGUAGGCUCUUCAAGUUUUGAGAAAGGAUUUUGAAUGAAUAAUUUUACAAUAUAUAUAAAUAUCUAUAUAUCUAUAUAUAUUUCUCUUGAAUUCUAUUUCUUAAGUAUGAUUCUCUCUCCAUUUACAAUACAAUAAAAGAGCGUUUACUUUGCAUGAUUAAUAAAAUGCAUGAUUGACUAUUACUAUCCUCAAGAAUAGGAUUUCUCCAAUCCGACCUUUUCAAUGAGAUAUAAAUCAAGCAAAACUAGUUCAAAUGAUAGAAAUUAUCAAGAGCUUUAGGAUAUCCCAGAAUUUCAAUCCUUUAAAGUAAACAAAGAAUUAGUCUUACUAUUUUUAUUUAUUAAAGUUAAUCCUUCAAACUUCAAAGUAAGCAUUCCCUAACUUUUUUUUAUUAAAUCCUGUGUUGCCACCUUCUAUGGUUAUUUUUUUAUGUAAUGAGAGGGUGUUAGUUUUUUUUUCAGAGAAGAGAGGGUAUUAGUUAAAAACCACAUGCAACUCCCUUUUCCCCCUCAUGAUACUACAAAGCAACAAUGGGAAUAAAGCUCAAUAAAAUCAUACAAAGAUGAGAAUGGAAUACACAAAAAAAAAAAAAAACUCAAACUCACUUUGCCAUUAACUCGUCCAAUAUAAGUACAUAUAGUAAAAACCAAGAUUACAAAACAAGCCUAUUUGUGAAACAGAGCUUCAGAAACAGAACAAUCCAAUAUGACAAAGAAAAGCUUCCCGUUGUACGAAAAGCUUCCCGUUGUACUCUACAGAGUCGAACGGGCUUCCACUAGCAAAUAUGGCGCGCCCCUGAAAAAAACUCAAUAUUUUCAGCAAGAAUCCAUGAAGGGAUGCGUUUAAUUUGAUUGGGAAAAAAAAAGAGAAAAAAUAUAUUUUCACAAUUUUUCCACCAUUUUUCAUGUUUACUAUGAUAGAAUUUUUUUUCCGGCAGCUCCUUUUUGCUCUUUUUCUCUCCAAUGUUGAAUUAUAUUAUCUUUAGGUAGUGGUGUGAAAAUACUUUCCAACAUUUCCUAAUAUUUUCAUUUUUUCUUAUCCAUCCUUUUCCAAUGAAAACUUUACAACCAAAGUAAAUGCAUCCUAGAUUGACAAUACAUAUAUGAUCAAACAUUUGAAGAUUAAAGAGACGAAAAAUCCAUUUACCUCACUCCAUGUGUACGCUUCUUCAGCCGUACAUUCUGAUUGUGAGGUCGGGUUUGACAGAGCGAGUAUGAGAGGUUUCUGUAAAUCAGCAAAGAUAAGGAUAUUUUGUAACACGAAAUUAAUUUAGGAUCGGAGAGAGAGAAGAGAACCUCGUUCAUGGAUGCCAUGGCCUCGACUACUUCCUUUGUGAAAGCUUUUCCAACACUCGAGAGCGAUAAGUUCAGCUAUACCAGUCCCGGCCUUCAAGAAACCGAAAAUCAGAAGCCAGGUUAAAGAAUUAUAUUUCCUCAAAAAAGAAAAUAUUUUGAAAUAAUGUCACUUGAUCAAUACACAAAACUAUGAGGCUUAACAAAUGCAGAUAUUAUAAAUUAGGAAAAGUAAUCUUGAAGUAGGAAGAAAUUAGGCUUACCUCUCCAGCACCCAAGAAUAAGAACCUAUGAUCUGCUAGAGUUCCACCAACUAGUAUCAAGGCUGCAACGAGCCCGGCAAGAACCACAGAGGCUGCACCCUGACACAAUGCAAGCUUGAUAAUGAAGUUCGUCCCAUGAUACUUGAAUAUUUAUGAUGGUAAAAAUGUUAGCGCAUCUACCUGGAUAUCGUCGUUGAACACAAGAUGACUAGAUCGGUAUUUGGAAAGUAGUUCAAAUGCAUUGUGGUUUGCAAAAUCUUCAAACUAGAGAAAUACGACAAAAUUUCAGACGACUGCAGAAAACUGUGACUUGAAAACUGAUGGAUAAAACAGCUUUGAUGCUCGUGAGCGUAGUACCUGUACCAAGACCUUAUCCCCGUAGUUCUGCUUAACAGCAGACAUGAACUCUUCUAGAAGUUCAUAAUAUUCCUAUACGAAAAACUAGAAGAUUAAAAGGCCAAUUCCAAACAUGUUUAAAAUAGAUAUAAAUGCAAUAAAAAAGUAAUAUUAGUACACUAGAAAAAGGAAAUCAAGAGAGACCUGCCCAGUUGCUCUGUUCUGCUUCAGACCAAUGUAGAAUUCAUCUUCUAACAACUUUUUGUUGUUUGUGCCGACGUCAAUGGUUAUUGUAGCCGAGAGUACUCGAACCUGUGACCUCUUGGACAACAUGCAACCACCCCAACCACUAGGCCAUCCCAAAGGGACGUGCAUUGGUAUUCUUGUGCAGCUCUUUGUUGACUGAAGAAGAGCUGGCUGAUUUCACCAUCCAUGAUCUGCUUGAGAAGCUCGAGGUAUUUAUUUUUCGAUGAAAUUUGGACCUAGUGUUACUGGUAUGAGAAUGGAGAUAAUAAGGUUAAGGUUAUAUUAGUGCUGAAAACAACUUGAAAAACGAUAUUACUAUUUAAAAUUAAUUUUAAAAUCCUAAAAAUUACAUAAAAAAUACAUAAAACUUAAUUAAAUAAAAAUAAUUCCUAAAAUAACUAUUCUGGUCCUAGAGGUUCGAAACGUGUCCAAACGUGCUCCAUCAAAUCAUGUUGGAGCAUAGCAUGACGAAGGAAAUAUUGGAAAUAUUGGAAGAUUGAAGGAAUAGAAUUGUUGUUGUGUGAACUCUGUUAACUCUGUUAGGAUUAUCUCAAAACUGAGUUGAGAUGGGCCUUCAUGAUUAAAGCCCAUUAUCUAGCUACUUUUUAGGUGAUGAGUGAUUCUAUUCAUAGUCUUCAUUUUACUCAAUGUAUAAUGCAUAUUCUUUUCAUGUUUUAAAAACACAUAGUUAAGUAAUUACACUCAAUACAGUAUACAUAAUAAUAUUAAUGUCAUUAUGCAAUCAGUGUUUAAAAUAAUUAAUUAAAANACCUCAUCCAAGUCUGGUGCCACGUCAUUUAAAAGUUCACCGAAAAGCACGCGAUGGGAAAUUCCAGAUGACAUAAUUUAUUAUGUAUAUUUUGAAACAAGAAUGAAAGAUUGUGGAAAAAACCAAAAAUUGGAAAUUUAUGAUAGAAUCAAAUAAAUUUCAAAAUGACAUGAGGAUAUGUGAGAUCCUUAAUAUAAUUUCUGUAGGACUAAAUGUCAAUCUCUCAGGCAUGUGUCUAUUGUUCUGUUUUUAUGAUUUUUUUCUUCAAAAGCUAUUAAUGUUAUUUCAUUAUAUCCAACACUCCAGAUUCCAUCAAACUUGAAUCAUCUGUUAUUGUUUUAACUCCAAACAUUAAUCCUUGAUUGCAAUGAGUAUGAUUCUAAAGCCAUGGCAGAGAUAGAGAAGCUUCUGAGGAGCAUGGAAGCGAGGCGGCCUCAACUAGUGGCGCUUACGAGCUUGCUCGUGGGGAAGAACGACGACAGCGUAGUUGUCGACUCUGAAGAGAAGGAUGAUGACAAAAAUUCAGACAGCAAUGUUGAAGAUGAAGAUAGUGAAACAGAGGAAUCAGCAGCUGUGGAAGUUGAACCCAAUCCCAGCAACAAGGGAAAAGGAAAAA
rnacentral:lncRNA from 1 species